rnacentral:lncRNA from 1 species
AUUUUCCUGCCUCAGCCUCCCAAGUAGCUGGGAUUUACAGCUGGAUCUACCAUGAAAGACUUCAGAGUCCAGGAAGAGAGACUGACUGGGCAACAUGUUAUUCAGGAAGUGGUGAAUUAAGUGUGGCAGGAAUACUUUGUAGCGACAGUAAUUUGCUUGUAUGGAAUUUUGCCUGAGAGACCUCACUACAGUUUCUAAUCUUUUGAUGUUAUCAUCCAUCCCUGUCCUUGUCAAAUAGUUUGGAAUAGGUAUGAUGAUCACAAUAACACCAAGCAUAAUAGCUCAUUAAUUCUCACAAAAUGACAGGUAGGUGCCACAGUUAUCCUCAUUUUAUGAAUGAAGUGAUGAAGACUUAGGGAUAACGAAUGAUUUGCCCAAGCUCACCUGGAUAUUAAGACUGAGUCAAAUGUUGGGUCUGGUCUGACUUUAAUGUUUGCUUUGUUCAUGAGCACCACAUAUUGCCUCUCCUAUGCAGUUAAGCAGGUAGACAGGUCAAAGAAAAGCCUGUGUUUGUCUCUGCUCAUGCACU